rnacentral:tRNA from 1 species
GCCAGUGUGGUGUAGUGGUUUGAACAUUGGACUACGACUCUGGAGUCCGGGUUUGAUUCCCUGCUCCAUCA